GGUGCUGCCACCCACUCCUUCUCCAGCGACGUCAUCCAGUAGUUGUUGCUUCCUUGGUUGCUUGUCCAAUGGAAUGUUUCACACCUAGCAUUGGUGACGAGAAGCGAACACGCCAUGCUCCUCCAAUCGAAUGCUUUCUAUGAGAAACAUUCAGCGGGGGUGACAUGUGAGCACCACGUCUGACUCAGUUCUCACAGCAGGGAAGGGUAGACGUAAA